rnacentral:lncRNA from 1 species
GGCUUCAGGAGUGAAGCUGCAGACCUUCGUGGCGAGUGUUACACCUCAUAAAGGCAGUGUGGACCCAAAGAGUGAGCAGCAGGAAGAUUUAUUGCGAAAGACCACUGCUUCCACCUUUUGGAAGGCAACCAGCGGGUUGCCACUGCUGCUGGGGCAGCCUGCUUUUAUUCUCUUAUCUGGCACCACCCACAUCCUGCUGAUUGGUCCAUUUUACAGAGAGCCCGAGUGGUCUGUUUUGACAGGGUGCUGAUUGGUGCGUUUACAAUCCCUGAGCUAGACACAAAGGUUCCCACCUCCCCACUAGAUUAGCUGGAUACAGAGUGUCCACACAAAGGUUCUCCAAGUCCCCACCAGAGCAGCUAGAUACAGAGUGUGGAUUGGUGCAUUCACAAACCUUGAGUUAGACACAGGGUGCUGAUUGGUGUGUUUACAAACCUUGAGCUAGAUACAGAGUGCCGAUUGGUGUAUUUACAAUCCCCUAACUCCAAGUCCCCACCAGACUCAGGAGCCCAGCUGGCUUCACCCAGUGGAUCCCGCAUCAGGGCCGCGGCGGAGCUGCCUGCCAGUCCCGUGCCGUGCGCCCGCACUCCUUAGCCCUUGGGUGGUCGAUGGGACUGGGCACGGUGGAGCAGGGGGUGGCGCUCGUUGGGGAGGCUCGGGCCGCACAGGAGCCCACGGAGGCAGGAGGAGGCUCAGGCAUGGCCGGCUGCAGGUCCCGAGCCCUGCCCCGCGGGAAGGCAGCUAAGGCCCCGCGAAAAAUUGAGCACAGCAGCUGCUGGCCCAGGUGCUAAGCCUCUCACUGCCCGGGGCCGGCGGGCCGGCCGGUCCGCCGGCCAGCCACUCCGAGUGCGGGGCCCGCCGAGCCCACGCCCACCCGGAACUCGUGCUGGCCCGCAAGCACCGCGCGCAGCCCGGGUUCCCGCCCACGCCUCUCCUCCACACCUCCCAGCAAGCUGAGGGAGCCGGCUCUGGCCUUGGCCAGCCCAGAAAGGGGCUCAGCAGCGGCGGGCUGAAGUUCUCCUCAAGUGCCGCCAAAGUGGGAGCCCAGGCAGAGGAGGCGCCGAGAGCGAGCCAAGGCUGUGAGGACUGCCAGCACGCUGUCACCUCUCAAGAGUAUGAGAGAAAAGGACUUCCAAGAACCCAUUUCCACAGGCGCAGUGGCUCAUGCCUGUAAUCUCAGCACUUUGGGAGGCUGAGGCAGGAGGAUCACCUGAAGUCAGGAGUUCAAGACCAGCCUGGCCAACAUGGUGAAAUGCCAUCUCUACUAAAAAUACAAAAAUUAGCUGGGCAUGGUGGCAGGCACCUGUAAUCCCAGCUACUCUGGAGGCUGCAGCAGGAGAAUCGCUUGAACCCGGGAGGCAGACGUUGCAGUGAGCUGAGGUGGUGCCACUGAACUCCAGCCUGGGCAACAGAGUGAGACGCCAUCUGAAAAAAAAAAAAUUCUCUUUCUUCUAGGUCACAGUGAUUCAUAUUUUGACCAAAAAUCAAGUAUAGACAAUAAGAGCAAUUUUAGUAUACUCAAGAUGAGAAAAAGAAUUCUAGAUUGAGUAAAAUAUUCAAGGGUUAUUUAGUCAAUAUACAAAAUGUGUACAUUCUGGUGCAUAUAUUUAAUGCUGCCAAAAUAUAAUCUCAAUCUAAGCUUUCGAUAUAUUCAACUCUUCAUGUUAUGUUUUUUGGCUAAAUGAAGGCAGUCACUCACACAGGAUUUUAUAUUUAUCUUAUGAAUUACCUUUCUUCUUUUGGGCUUUAGGUGUAUGCUUAUAAAUUUUUAUUUAUGUGUUUAUAUGAACAUACUCAUUGAUAUUAAUAUAACAAAAAUGCUAUCCAUCUGCUAGAAUUAUAUUAAAAGAAAGUACAUUAUGUGAGAAAGAGAACAAUGAAAUGUAAGUUUGGACUUAAGUUUUAUUAGAAAAGGACAUUUCUUCAAAGACAGUUCAAACUGUAUCUCAGGAUAAAGGACACAGCUGAAAGCUCAUAUAUCUAUGCUGUAACAGGACAGCCCGCUUAAAGCAAUUUGAUGCUCAUUCAGUACAUUCAAAUGAGUUUUUAAGAUUAUGAAGCCUGCCUUGUCUUGCCAAGGAUAAAUGAAUGGCGGGCUACUCAAGCAACUGUGUUGUUUCAUAUAAGGAUUAUCAUCCCUUCUCCUAAAUUAUUAGCUUAUAAAAUUGAAGACAGUGUUUUGGCAGAAAUUAAGUGAGGUUCCAGGUUUUUUUUUCCCUGCAGCCUGACUGAUAAUACAAUUAAAACCACCUUUAACACUCAGAACACCUCAUUAAAAAUAAACAUCAUAAUUAAGUAAAUAUCUAGAUUUUAAAAGAUCUAUGCUUUUCUGGUUUCAGUAUUAAGUAGAAAAAAUUUAUAAAGGGAUUCUGAUGUUCCUCAAUGAUAUUUUCAAAUAUUAAUGACUCUGCUGUCCAUAAUUCUUCAGAAGAUAUUGUUAGUCUCCUCAUACCCUAUAAACAUUUUAUAUUUGUGCUUUAUACCAAGAUAAGAAAAAUACUUUUCUCUUAUAUGCCCUCUAAUUGCUAGCAAUCACUGACCUUUUUACUACCUCCAUAGUUUCUCCAUUUACAGAAUGUCAUGUAGUUGGAAUCUUACAGUAUUUAGCCUUUUCAGAUUGGCUUCUUUCACUUGGUAAUAUUCAUUUAACUUUUCUCCAUGUCUUUUCAUGGUUUCAUAACUCAUUUAUUUUUAGUGCUGAAUAAUAUUCCAUUGCCUGGAUGUACU